CAAGCGCAAAGAUGAGUUUUGAGGAAUGCAUCAACUGCAUUUUAUAGCUUCAUUUUCACAUCUGUAACUUUGUUAUCGACAAUGUGGGACUAAACUAUAAUACUCUCACUUCCAAAGACAGCUUAGCAAGUCUUUAAGCUGUUUGAAACAAUUGAUCACCUUGGAAGUUGAUUAUUAAGGCAUUGGGUAUACCUGGACAUGGGUCAAGGAUGUUUGAUAACAAUGCUAUGGAGAAUUCGAUGAAGAAUCUAGAAGUUAUGACUAGAUAUAGAGAUGGGCAUUCUGAUUUGGUUAAAGCUGGAUUGGCCAUGAGUUAGGAAGUUGUGUCAGUGAAUGCUGGUACUCCUUUGCCUACGAAAGCUGGGUUGUCAACAGUAGACCCAGAACUGUUGAUAAAGAGAAUCGUUGAUGAAUGGGCGCCACAUUAUAGGAUCAUGGCAUAUGAGGUGAGAUUCUCCUGACUAAAAGGGAUGGAGAUACUCCUGUGGUGGAAGCUAUUGCCAAAGCAUUGUCUUCCUCUGAAACCAAAACCUCACAGUCCUUGGACCAGCGGAUAUGGUGCAACUGUUGCUCCUGUAAACCAAUAACCUAGUGCUUUUGAUGAAUUUGACCCUCGCAGUUUCGCUCCAGCUACCGCUCCUCCCGCAAGUAAUGGAGAAAUGGAUCUACUUGGGUCCCUCUCGGAUGCUCUGGAUUUCCUCAACUUCUAUGAACACAACAUCUGAAGCUGGAAUUCCCUUUGAUUCUGCUCCAGGGUCCACAUUCGCAACACUAUUAUCAGCAUCUAUUGUGCUGAGCCAGGUCCAAUUGAUAGUUUUGAAACUUCAAAUAGUGUCAACUUCUCAUUUUAGUGGGGACAAAUAAUAAGUGAACAAGAGUCAGGGAAACAUCUUAAUUGUUAGGCAUAAAGACAUGAAAUUAGAACUCCAAUUUAUUCCAAAGGGAGUGCCACAGGGAGCUGUUGGUGCUCUAGGUAGCCCUUCACAACCCAAUAUUCCUGGACACUUCCUUCUCCAGUCAGUAUGGAGAGCUCCAGUUGCCUCACUCUGAAGUUUAAUGCUCUAAGUGGACCACAUAUCCAGCCAGGUGUUUCUAGGGACAAUUUCCCUGCACGAUCUGGGUAUGGUGCACCA